UGGCCCUCAAGCGUAGCGCUGUGUGUAAUUUAGAGCUUUGUUUUCGCUGUAAACACUCAAAAGACAGGCCAUGGAUAUCUUCUGUUGCCUCUUGCCAAUGCCCGAUGCUGCGCCUGCCAUCUUCCUAGGCCUUUGCCUGGCUUUCCUGUUUCUCUUCUACAAAUUCUUCUCCUCGAAGCAGGACGUUAGGGCGAGGAACCUGCCUCAGGGAAGCGUGGGAUGGCCGCUUCUGGGAGAAACUCUCGCCUUCCUCUCGCCUCACCGGUCCAACUCUCUGGGUAUCUUCUUGCAAGAUCACUGCUCUAGGUAUGGUAAGGUAUUCAAGUCCCAUCUCUUCGGGUCUCCGACCAUAGUCUCGUGCGACCACGAGCUCAACGCGUUCGUCCUCCAGAACGAGGAGAGGCUGUUCGGAGCAAGCUAUCCGAAGCCCAUGCUCGGGAUUCUCGGCAAGUACUCGCUGCUCGUGGUCUCCGGAGACCUCCACAAGAAGCUGAGGAGCGUGGCCGUCAACUUCGUCACCGCCUCCAAGUCGACCUCUGAGUUCCAUCUGUGCGUCGAGAGGCUGUCCGUCUCCAUGUUGGAGUCGUGGAAAGGGCGUGAUCAAGUUGCCUUCUGUAAAGAAGCCAAAAUGUUUGCACUAAGCCUUAUGGUGAAGACCCUUUUGAGUAUUGAACCAGAAGAUCCGAGGGCAAGGAAGAUACUUGCUGAUUUCUUGACCUACAUGAAGGGUUUCGUGUCCUUGCCCUUAUAUAUUCCUGGUACCCCGUACGCCAUGGCCGUGAAGGCAAGAGCAAGGCUUUCCUCAACCGUGAGAGAGAUAAUAGAAGAGAGGAGAAGAAGCAGCAGCAGCAGCAAUGUGGUGGGGUUGAGGAAAGGAGACUUCAUGGACGUGAUUCUAGGGAAGGAGGGGUUGAACGAGGAAGAGAUGGUGAGCAUCGUGUUGGACAUCUUGCUCGGCGGCUACGAAACCACCGCCACCCUCAUGGCCUUGAUCGUCUUCUUCCUCGCACAUGAACCCGCCUCUCUCCUCCAACUCAGGGAAGAGCACCAAGCAAUAAGGCGGAAGAAGGGGAGAGGAGAGCCGUUGAACGCGGAAGAUUACAAGCAAAUGGAGUACACUGAUGAUGUCAUAUGCGAGGCUCUGAGAUGUGGGAAUGUGGUCAAAUUUGUGCACCGCAGAGCCCUUCAGGACAUCGAGUUCAAAGGCUUGACCAUACCCUCGGGUUGGAAAGUAUUUCCGGUCUUCAUCGGGACGCAUCUUGAUCCGAAUCUUCAUGAGAACCCCAUGAAAUUUGAUCCUUCGAGAUGGAAGGAUAAAGCAAUGAACAAGAAGGUCAUGCCUUUCGGAGGUGGACUUCGACUUUGUCCCGGCGCCGAACUCGCUCGACUCAUCAUUGCCUUCUUUCUUCAUCACCUCGUCCUCAGCUUCAGGUACCAGUAAAAUAAAAUAAAAAUAAACACAUGAUUGAAAUCUUUGUUCGCACCGAACAAUAACGUGUUAAGCGAUCCCGAUCUUCACAUUCCAUAACGGACCAAACAAACAGUGGAAGACGAAACCAGAUGACUUCCCCGUUGCUUACCCUUAUGUGGAGUUCAAGAGGGAUUUGGUGCUGGAGAUCGAGCCAACAGAAACCCACAGCUAAUUUUGCAGACAAGAGAAG